AGCGCCGAAUCCCCGUCCCGCGGUGGGGCGCGGGAAAUGUGGCGUACAGAAGACCCACUCUCCCCGGUGCCGCUCUCGGGGGCCCAAGUCCUUCUGAUCGAGGCACAGCCCGUGGACGGUGUGAGGCCGGUAGCGGCCCCCGGCGCGC
rnacentral:miRNA from 1 species